GGCUUAACACAUGCAAGUCGAACGGUAGCAGGUAAGUACUUGAACUUAUGCUGACGAGUGGCGGACGGGUGAGUAAUGCUUGGGGAUCUGGCUUAUGGAGGGGGAUAACGACGGGAAACUGUCGCUAAUACCGCGUAGAAUCGAGAGAUGAAAGUGUGGGACCUUCGGGCCACAUGCCAUAGGAUGAACCCAAGUGGGAUUAGGUAGUUGGUGGGGUAAUGGCCUACCAAGCCGACGAUCUCUAGCUGGUCUGAGAGGAUGACCAGCCACACCGGGACUGAGACACGGCCCGGACUCCUACGGGAGGCAGCAGUGGGGAAUAUUGCGCAAUGGGGGCAACCCUGACGCAGCCAUGCCGCGUGAAUGAAGAAGGCCUUCGGGUUGUAAAGUUCUUUCGGUGACGAGGAAGGUUGUUGUGUGAAUAGCACAACAAAUUGAC
rnacentral:rRNA from 1 species